UACGUAGGAGACGAGCGUUGUCCGGAAUCACUGGGCGUAAAGGGCGCGUAGGCGGCUCAUGAAGGCUGUGGUGAAAGUCCGGGGCUCAACCUCGGAUCGGCCGUGGCGACUCGUGGGCUGGAGCACUGUAGAGGCGGGUGGAAUUCCGGGUGUAGCGGUGAAAUGCGUAGAUAUCGGGAGGAACACCUGUGGCGAAAGCGGCUCACUGGACCACAACUGACGCUGAGGCGCGAAAGCUAGGGGAGCAAACAGG
rnacentral:rRNA from 1 species